UACGUAGAGGGCAAGCGUUGUCCGGAUUAUUGGGCGUAAAGAGCGUGUAGGCGGCUUUACAGGUCCGUUGUGAAAACUCGAGGCUCAACCUCGAGACGCCGGUGGAAACCGUAAGGCUAGAGUCCGGAAGAGGAGAGUGGAAUUCCUGGUGUAGCGGUGAAAUGCGCAGAUAUCAGGAGGAACACCCGUGGCGAAAGCGGCUCUCUGGGACGGUACUGACGCUGAGACGCGAAAGCGUGGGGAGCAAACAGG
rnacentral:rRNA from 1 species